GACGAACGCUGGCGGCGUGCCUAAUACAUGCAAGUAGAGCGCUGAAGGAGGAGCUUGCUUCUCUGGAUGAGUUGCGAACGGGUGAGUAACGCGUAGGUAACCUGCCUGGUAGCGGGGGAUAACUAUUGGAAACGAUAGCUAAUACCGCAUAAUAGCAGUUAUUGCAUGAUAACUGUUUGAAAGGUGCAAUUGCACCACUACCAGAUGGACCUGCGUUGUAUUAGCUAGUUGGUGGGGUAACGGCUCACCAAGGCGACGAUACGUAGCCGACCUGAGAGGGUGAUCGGCCACACUGGGACUGAGACACGGCCCAGACUCCUACGGGAGGCAGCAGUAGGGAAUCUUCGGCAAUGGACGGAAGUCUGACCGAGCAACGCCGCGUGAGUGAAGAAGGUUUUCGGAUCGUAAAGCUCUGUUGUAAGAGAAGAACGAGUGUGAGAGUGGAAAGUUCACACUGUGACGGUAUCUUACCAGAAAGGGACGGCUAACUACGUG
rnacentral:rRNA from 1 species